rnacentral:rRNA from 1 species
UACGUAGGGUGCGAGCGUUGUCCGGAAUUACUGGGCGUAAAGAGCUUGUAGGUGGUUUGUCGCGUUGUUCGUGAAAUCUCACGGCUUAACUGUGAGCGUGCGGGCGAUACGGGCAGACUAGAGUACUGCAGGGGAGACUGGAAUUCCUGGUGUAGCGGUGGAAUGCGCAGAUAUCAGGAGGAACACCGGUGGCGAAGGCGGGUCUCUGGGCAGUAACUGACGCUGAGAAG